AUUAUAACACAUCCUAUAAUUUUUUUAGACUAUGGAUAUUAUACAAAAUAAGGAGCUAGUUUAUCUCUAUCAGCUUGUGGAUGGCAUUGCCACAUGCAGCUUUGCUUCUCAAACGGCUUUGCAAGCAGGCUUACCAGAAAAUGUAAUUAAAAGAAGCUUAAAGGUUGCUAAAGCUUUAAAAGAAAAGCAGCAAAUUCCAGCUGAAGACAUAUAUAUACAAAAAAGGCUUGCAAAGAAUGUUUGGAUGUUUUGAAAUGUCUUAACUGUUGCCACAUUUCCUCAGUAUUUUCAAAAGACCCAUGAAAAUAUUACCAAGGGAUUACAGUUAGUAUAUCGAAUGAGGUGUUAGAGAAAUUAUAGUUGCCUGCUUGUAUUGAUGUGCUCUAAUUAGCUAUAUUGAUUAAAUCAGAUUGUGUACGUGAAUGUAAUGUCUUUCUAAGCCCAAUAAAACUGCUAGUGAUUUCUCGACUGAA